CUAGAUGCCUUGGAGGAAGACGUCGAUCCCAUCAAAGGAGACAGCACCGGAGGCACACCUCUCGCCACGGUGACUCCAGCACCCAGCGAGAGUGAUGUGACUGAUGAUGGCGCUGUCUGGUCAUGGCUUUUUCAGAGUGUUACAGAGGAGGAGGGCUUGCCUCUUGCCAAGGUGACCCCAGCAAGCAGCGAAUGCGAUGCCUUGGAGGAAGACGUUGAUCCCAUCAAAGGAGACAGCAAAGGAUGCACACCUCUCGCCGUGGUGA